rnacentral:rRNA from 1 species
CCUACGGGAGGCAGCAGUGGGGAAUUUUGGACAAUGGGCGCAAGCCUGAUCCAGCAAUGCCGCGUGAGUGAAGAAGGCCUUCGGGUUGUAAAGCUCUUUUGUCAGGGAAGAAAAGGGAUUGGCUAAUAUCUGGUCCUCAUGACGGUACCUGAAGAAUAAGCACCGGCUAACUACGUGCCAGCGGCCGCGGUAAUACGUAGGGUGCAAGCGUUAAUCGGAAUUACUGGGCGUAAAGCGUGCGCAGGCGGUUUUGUAAGACUGCCGUGAAAUCCCCGGGCUUAACCUGGGAAUGGCGAUGGUGACUGCAAGGCUAGAGUUUGGCAGAGGGGGGUAGAAUUCCACGUGUAGCAGUGAAAUGCGUAGAUAUGUGGAGGAACACCGAUGGCGAGGGCAGCCCCCUGGGUCAAAACUGACGCUCAUGCACGAAAGCGUGGGGAGCAAGCAGGAUUAGAUACCCUGGUAGUCCACGCCCUAAACGAUGUCUACUAGUUGUCGGGUCUUAAUUGACUUGGUAACGCAGCUAACGCGUGAAGUAGACCGCCUGGGGAGUACGGUCGCAAGAUUAAAACGCAAAGGAAUUGACGG